GACGAACGCUGGCGGCGUGCUUAACACAUGCAAGUCGAACGGAAAGGCCCCCAUCUUGGUGGGGGUGCUCGAGUGGCGAACGGGUGAGUAACACGUGGGUGAUCUGCCCUGUACUUCGGGAUAAGCUUGGGAAACUGGGUCUAAUACCGGAUAGGACCAUGGUUUAGUGUCUCAUGGUGGAAAGAUUAUUGUUUUGGUGCAGGAUGAGCUCGCGGCCUAUCAGCUUGUUGGUGGGGUAAUGGCCUACCAAGGCGUCGACGGGUAGCCGGCCUGAGAGGGUGGACGGCGACAUUGGGACUGAGAUACGGCCCAGACUCCUACGGGAGGCAGCAGUGGGGAAUAUUGCACAAUGGGCGCAAGCCUGAUGCAGCGACGCCGCGUGGGGGAUGACGGCCUUCGGGUUGUAAACUCCUUUCGUUAGGGACGAAGCCGCACUUUUUUUGGGUGUGGUGACGGUACCUUUGUUAAGAAGCACCGGCUAACUACGUG
rnacentral:rRNA from 1 species